AUGCACGCGCUACGUGAUCAGCGCAGCUCCAGUCUGCCCGCACUUCCUCACCGCGGUCACCUCCUUCAGGCUACUUGUCUUUGCGCACAGGGCAGGAUGGGAUGCUCCACCAGCUCUCAAACUUCAGCGGAGGAUACGACCAGACCCAGCGCCAAGCCCGAAGAGAGCAACGGAGCCAGCACUACGGGGGUGGCUAAUGAGAAUGGAAACAUAGCCGAGGACAGUGAAACUAUUCCAGACCAGACACCCGCUGAGCCUGUUGCUGCUGCUGACACAUCUGGAGAAGGCACCUCUGCAAGCCCACCAGCUGGGGAGGAGUCUCAACCUUCCACAGACAGCACGCCUGCAGAGAAUGCAGCAGAAACACCUGCUGCAGAAACACCUGCAGCAGAAACACCUGCAGCAGAAACACCUGCAGCAGAAACACCCGCAGCAGAAACACCUGCUACAGAAACACCCGCUGCAGCUCCAGAGCAAGAAGCCACAGCGACUCAUUCAGAGCCAGAACCAGAGACACCAGGUGAGUCCAGCUGCAGGUUUACAUCACACGUCAUUGUUCUCCACCUUAACUGGUCCUUUUUGUUUGUUUCCAGCUCCCAGUGA
rnacentral:lncRNA from 1 species